UAAAAUAAACCUCAUCCACAUAUUGUUUUUGUUUAUUUCACAACAUAUGUUCCUUAGGGAGAAGAUGAUGAAAUGUGGAUGUGCGCAUAUAUGGGGUACAAGCUGAGCACAGAGAGCUGUCAGAGUAACAUUUUAGCCCAAGCGCAGUGUAAAAAGCAACUCAGACACAGGGGGAAGAUAGAAUCUCCUAGAGCUCCAUGAGGCGUGAGAACCUUGCUUCUGGGGCAGCAAACAUUCACCAUUGUUGAGGUGGGGCCAUGACCAGAGGUUGGACCUUCAUGGAGCGGCUCGGUCAAUUGUUGAACCUUUGAGAGGAGCUUGAAAUGAAACUUCUGACAAGCACUGCCCUAAGGUUGGAUCUGGCUGAACUGUCUAUGGGAGAUAAAGGCACAGGAUCACAGGUGCAUGAUGGGAAAGCGAGAGCUUUUCACAUUUGAAUCCUGAGCGAGAAGGAGCCAUGUGAGCAAGUCGUAUUGUUUGGUGUUCGGGCCGCGCAACGCAGGAGGAGUUCCAUCACUAUACCAUUAACUGAGAGACUUCAAAACCCAAUUGGACUUAUUUAUAAACAAAGUUCAAGAACUUCUCAGCAUGCCUGGGAGUCCCUGCCCUUCGUACCUAUUGUGACCAGCCCAUUCUGGAACCCUGCUCCCCUGUGUAGGAGUUUUCUAGUGCAUUUUACUGCUGAGCCAUGGGAAGCCUUUUUUUCUGCUUGCUGUGACCCAAGGUUUGUAUACUAGACUCUGCCUUACCUGCUGCCUGCCCUGACGGCCAACUUCCAAUCUGUAUCUUCCAAUAAAAUCAAGACUUGUUUCUUUCAAA